AAAAAGACAAACCCUGGUUUUCCGUGUCCAACGUUUGACUCUCCGUCUUAUAUAAAAAUUUUUUAUAAUUAGUAUUUUCAUUGUUGUUAGAUGAUAAAACAUGAUUAAUACUUUGUGUACUUGUCUUUUUUUAUUUUUUUCAUAAUUUUCUUAAAUAAGACGGACGGUCAAACGUUGGACACGGAAACCCAAGGUUUGUCUUUUU
rfam:Oryza barthii chromosome 7, whole genome shotgun sequence.